rnacentral:rRNA from 1 species
CAGUCGCCGCGGUAAUACGUAGGUGGCAAGCGCUGUCCGGAGUUAUUGGGCGUAAAGGGCUCGCAGGCGGUUUCUUAAGUCUGAUGUGAAAGCCCCCGGCUCAACCGGGGAGGGUCAUUGGAAACUGGGAAACUUGAGUGUAGAAGAGGAGAGUGGAAUUCCACGUGUAGCGGUGAAAUGCGUAGAGAUGUGGAGGAACACCAGUGGCGAAGGCGACUCUCUGGUCUGUAACUGACGCUGAGGAGCGAAAGCGUGGGGAGCGAACAGGAUUAGAUACCCCGGUAGUCCCUGUCUCUUAUAC